UACGGAGGGUGCAAGCGUUGUCCGGAAUCACUGGGCGUAAAGAGCGUGUAGGCGGCCAUACAGGUCUGCUGUGAAAACUCGAGGCUCAACCUCGAGCUGUCGGUGGAAACCGUAUGGCUAGAGUCCGGAAGAGGAGAGUGGAAUUCCCGGUGUAGCGGUGAAAUGCGCAGAUAUCGGGAAGAACACCCGUGGCUAAGGCGGCUCUCUAGUACGGUACUGACGCUGAGACGCGAAAGCGUGGGGAGCGAACAGG
rnacentral:rRNA from 1 species